rnacentral:rRNA from 1 species
UGGGGAAUUUUGGACAAUGGGCGAAAGCCUGAUCCAGCAAUGCCGCGUGUGUGAAGAAGGCCUUCGGGUUGUAAAGCACUUUUGUCCGGAAAGAAAUCCUUGGCUCUAAUACAGUCGGGGGAUGACGGUACCGGAAGAAUAAGCACCGGCUAACUACGUGCCAGCAGCCGCGGUAAUACGUAGGGUGCAAGCGUUAAUCGGAAUUACUGGGCGUAAAGCGUGCGCAGGCGGUUUGCUAAGACCGAUGUGAAAUCCCCGGGCUCAACCUGGGAACUGCAUUGGUGACUGGCAGGCUAGAGUAUGGCAGAGGGGGGUAGAAUUCCACGUGUAGCAGUGAAAUGCGUAGAGAUGUGGAGGAAUACCGAUGGCGAAGGCAGCCCCCUGGGCCAAUACUGACGCUCAUGCACGAAAGCGUGGGGAGCAAACAGGAUUAGAUACCCUGGUAGUCCACGCCCUAAACGAUGUCAACUAGUUGUUGGGGAUUCAUUUCCUUAGUAACGUAGCUAACCGCGUGAAGUUGACCGCCUGGGGAGUACGGUCGCAAGAUU